AUUGAACGCUGGCGGCAUGCUUUACACAUGCAAGUCGAACGGUAACAGGCCGCAAGGUGCUGACGAGUGGCGAACGGGUGAGUAAUGCAUCGGAACGUGCCCAGUCGUGGGGGAUAACGCAGCGAAAGCUGCGCUAAUACCGCAUACGAUCUAUGGAUGAAAGCGGGGGACCGAAAGGCCUCGCGCGAUUGGAGCGGCCGAUGUCAGAUUAGGUAGUUGGUGGGGUAAAGGCUCACCAAGCCAACGAUCUGUAGCUGGUCUGAGAGGACGACCAGCCACACUGGGACUGGGACACUGCCCAGACUCCUACGGGAGGCAGCAGUGGGGAAUUUUGGACAAUGGGCGCAAGCCUGAUCCAGCAAUGCCGCGUGUGUGAAGAAGGCCUUCGGGUUGUAAAGCACUUUUGUCCGGAAAGAAAUGGCUCUGGUUAAUACCUGGGGUCGAUGACGGUACCGGAAGAAUAAGGACCGGCUAACUACGUGCCAGCAGCCGCCGUAAUAC
rnacentral:rRNA from 1 species